rnacentral:tRNA from 2 species
GGGGACGUAGUUCAGCUGGAUAGAACAAUUGAUUGUCGAUCAAUAGGUCGCGGGUUCGAGUCCCGUCGUCCCCGCCA